rnacentral:piRNA from 1 species
UGAAGGAAACAAGUACUCUGCUGC